UUAAACAUUUUUUAAAAUAUUUAUAUUUUUGGUCAUGAUGUGCCUUUAAUGUUUACAGGCAUCAUUGGUCUUUAAUACUAGUGAGAACUUCUCACACAUUCCAAUCUAUUGUACAUGUUUAACUAUUUAUAAUCUGAGUUGACAGGUGUAUGUUUUCAUCCAAUCAGAUGAGAGUAUUCUUAUAUUGUGAUCACAUGACCAGGUUUGGUGUGUAGUUUCAAAGUUUUAGAGUUAGAGGAAGGUGGACAUUUUUGCUUUGCUCUUUGAUAGGUUAUUUUAUAUUUAAAGUGUUUGGAGGAGAAUUGGACUAAGCACAAGUCACAUACACUGGAUGGUCGAGUGAUUGUUUGUGGAGGAUAUUUAUAAAUAUAAAAGAGGGUACUUGUUUCACUCACAAGGCCCAUUUUUGUUUUGUGUUAUUUAUAUUGUAAAUACUACACCGAAUAAAUAUCUAGCAAGAACCCUAUUGUGUUGUUUAACCCUGAGACCGUAGAGGCCCAGCUGCUAGAUUGGCGCCCAACGUUGUGGAUUGUCGUGGUACAUCGGUGUGGAUUGGCGUGGUAAAGUGGUGUGGAUUGUCGUGGUAAAGUGGUGUGGAUUGGCGUGGUAAAGUGGUGUGGAUUGGCGUGGUACAGUGGUGUGGAUUGGCGUUGUAUAGUUGUGUUGAUUGACGUGGUACAGUGUCGUUGGUAUUGGAACGUGGAUUGAUUGGUUAUUGCGUGGAUCAAUCUGAGGACAGAUUUCAGCAUUGUGAGAGGAGCAGCAUCAUUGUGGAACUGUAUGACUGUGUGUGUGAAAUUGGUCAAGUGAAUCACUUAUUACCUAGGUGUUAGUAUUGUAUAUUGGUGAGUUUAAGUGUAAAUAUUUACCUGGGUCACUAUUUGUAUAUUUUUAUCUGUUUAUAAAAUUUAAGUAAAUUAUAAUUUACAUUUUGAAGGAAAAUUUCAUAUUAAUUAUGUAAUUAAUCAUGUAAUUGUUGAUUUAUAAGUCUCUAAGUUAAGCAAUUAUAUUCAGUAAGAUUUAAGACAUAGUGUAACUAUACAGGUUAUUACUUUUGUAAGUUGUGUAAAGAUAAAGCUUAAUAGAGAAUAUAUUUUGCUAGAAUUUGUUUUAAUAUCAAGAUUAGAUUAUCUAAAGUUACUUAAUUAUUAAUUACAAAUAAGAUUUCGCUUCAAGUCAAGAUAUAAGAAUUUUAAGUAAUUGAUAUUUUAUUUAUUACUUAAUUUGGUGACCCAGUACAUAAUAAUAGUAUGUAUUAGUUAAUGCUAUAAAGGAAUGUGAGUAUAUUUUGUUUAUGUAAGAAUAAAUGUGCACGGAUUUGCCGACGACCACGUUGCGAAUAAACGUUUUAAACCAUCACCUACCGCAGAGGCAAGCGCAAUUCGGGACCUCCAGGACUGUGCAGUGCAUAUAAAUGAGUGGAUGAACAGCAACAAGUUAAAAAUGAACAAUUCAAAGACAGAGUUUAUUCUUUUCGGAAGUCGUCCACAGCUGAAUAAGUGUAACACCAAAGAAAUCAAUAUAUGUGGUAAUGUUAUUGAAUCACAACAUUGUAUACGUUAUCUUGGUGCUUUUUUGGAUGAGUCUCUAAAUUUCAAAGAUCACAUUAAAAGAAAGUGUAGAACUGCUAUGUUAAACUAUUUCAAGAUCAAGAGCAUUCGAAAGUAUCUGACAAAGGAAGCCGCUGAAAACACUUGUUUUAU